UGGGGAAUAUUGCACAAUGGGCGCAAGCCUGAUGCAGCCAUGCCGCGUGUAUGAAGAAGGCCUUCGGGUUGUAAAGUACUUUCAGCGGGGAGGAAGGGAGUAAAGUUAAUACCUUUGCUCAUUGACGUUACCCGCAGAAGAAGCACCGGCUAACUCCGUGCCAGCAGCCGCUGUAAUACGGAGGGUGCAAGCGUUAAUCGGAAUUACUGGGCGUAAAGCGCACGCAGGCGGUUUGUUAAGUCAGAUGUGAAAUCCCCGGGCUCAACCUGGGAACUGCAUAUGAUACUGGCAAGCUUGAGUCUCGUAGAGGGGGGUAGAAUUCCAGGUGUAGCGGUGAAAUGCGUAGAGAUCUGGAGGAAUACCGGUGGCGAAGGCGGCCCCCUGGACGAAGACUGACGCUCAGGUGCGAAAGCGUGGGGAGCAAACAGG
rnacentral:rRNA from 1 species